UUUUUUUGCUUCAUUGUUGCUAAAUGGAUUGUAACGUAUGUAAUUAAUUCAAAUCUAGUCAAAAAAAAAAACGUACGUAAUUAAUUUGUUUACGUAAUCUUUCUUGUUGUAAUCCCUUAGCAACUACUAGAAUAUUUUUAUUGUGCCAAUGUUGUUUCCGACUUAUAUGUCACUUGAUUUUAGUUUGUUUCGAUAAUAACAAUAAAAGAUAUGUAUACCAAUUAUCACGAGUCACUUAGAUUUUAUUCUUUUCAUAUAUAUAUACAGGUACAUCUUAUAGGGUGUUUUUAAUAAUUCAUCUGACUUUUGCGAACUGUAUUUCUUCCGAAAUGAAUCAGAUGGCAAUGAUGUCAUAUGCUUCAAGAUGAUAUCCUAACAACUGAAGAGUUAACUUUCUGAGAAAAAGAAUGAAAUAUAUUUGAAGUUGGUUGAUUCCACAAAAGGUUGUGUGUUUGUUCUAAGAGCUUUCUUAGUGAAGUUUCAAUCAAUGGUAAAAUGACAGUCGUCAUUGAAAGAUCAAAUAAAGGCUGAACAAUCUUGAGGGCUUGGAGAAUAAGUUUUGGCCAGCUAUCUAUCCAAGAGUGUUAACAAUUAAGUUUUAAUUGGAUGCUUUAGUUAUUUUUCUUAAUUUUUUAUUAGUUCUUUCCAGUUUCAAAUUAUUGCUGGGUUUUUUCUCUAUUAAUGCACUGUUGAAAUUUUUAAUAUUUCAAUUUAUUUAAUAAAGAUGGUCAUUUGACUUUUGUUUA